rnacentral:rRNA from 1 species
UACGAAGGGGGGCUAGCGUUGCUCGGAAUUACUGGGCGUAAAGGGCUCGUAGGCGGUUUGUCGCGUCGGGAGUGAAAUCCACUGGCUUAACUGGUGGCUUGCUUUCGAUACGGGCAGACUGGAGGUAUGCAGGGGAGAACGGAAUUCCUGGUGUAGCGGUGAAUGCGCAGAUAUCAGGAGGAACACCGGUGGCGAAGGCGGUUCUCUGGGCAUGUCCUGACGCUGAGGAGCGAAAGUGUGGGGGAGCGAACAGG